CCACUGGCAUGCCUUAGUACGGCGAGUGAGCGGCAAUAGCUCAAAUUUGAAAGCUGGCGUCUUCGACGUCCGCGUUGUAAUUUGUAGAGGAUGCUUCGGCGAAGACUCCUGCCUAAGUCCCCUGGAACGGGGCGUCAUAGAGGGUGAGAAUCCCGUAUGUGGCGGGCAGUCUAAGCCAUGUGAAGCUCCUUCGACGAGUCGAGUUGUUUGGGAAUGCAGCUCUAAAUGGGAGGUAAAUUUCUUCUAAAGCUAAAUAUUGGCCAGAGACCGAUAGCGCACAAGUAGAGUGAUCGAAAGAUGAAAAGCACUUUGGAAAGAGAGUUAAAAAGUACGUGAAAUUGUUGAAAGGGAAGCGCUUGCAACCAGACUCGCUCGUAGUUGCUCAGCCGGCCUCUUGGCCGGUGUACUCUUCUACGAUCGGGCCAGCAUCAGUUCGGGCGGCAGGAUAAAGGUGUCGGGAAUGUAGCACCCUUCGGGGUGUGUUAUAGCCCGGCGCGGAAUGCUGCCAGCCUGGACUGAGGAUCUCGCUUCGGCAAGGAUGCUGGCGUAAUGGUUGUAAGCGGCCCGUCUUGAACAACGGACCAAA
rnacentral:rRNA from 1 species